rnacentral:lncRNA from 1 species
CUCAGUUCUGUGGACUUGAGAUCCCUAACUGAAGGUGUUUUUAUAGGGAAAAUGCAUGCUGCUCUUUGGCUCUUUCUGUCCAACUUUUCUAGAGAUGAUCGCCUCCAGUAGGCUUUGUGAACAGUGUAAAUUCGCCGUGUAAAGCACAGACUAUUCUUACACAGCUUGCUCUCCCUUCCCUUGUCACAACAGUGCCACUGCAAUGCCUCGCCAACUGCUCUGCUCCGCUCUGCUCUGCUCUGCUCCGCUCCAUCCCACAGGUGUGAGGAAAUUUUUUCAGGAAGUACACUCUGGCAUGGAGAAGAUGGAGGGCUUUGCUACUCUGUUCUUGGAUUCUACCUAAUCUUAGAAUGAGAGGGGACCUGCCUUUGCCUCCAGUAUCUGGGAUCAGAUGAGGAAGAAAGUUCCAAUUUGUCCAGAAAGUGUGGAAGCCAAGUGUGGUGGUGUGCAUCUGCAUAGUCCCCACUAAGGCAGGCAGGGUCACAAGUUUAAGCCCAGACUUGGCUUCAUAGUGGGAUCCUCUUGCAAAAGGGGGCAGCAGGGGUGGGGAUCGGGGCUCCUGGCAGAGUCCAUUUGGAAAAUUACAAAUCCAGUUGGAAAGAAUGAGCUGUUCCCAGUGUGCUCUGUUUGUGGCAGACCAGCUGGAUUCCUAUGCAGGGCAAGGGAGUGUGAAACAUUUUCUGAGAGCCUUAGCCUGAUUGACCCCAGUAAUCCAUUAUCUAUGUCCCUCUGUAGUACCAGAGUCAAAUGCCCACACUCAGUUUACAGUAAAAUGUCUUCAAGUGACCAAUGCCAGAAGUGGGCUUCUCCUGGUUUAAUUUUGUUACAGGCUAGUGUUUACCAUUUCAUAUUGGAUAACUGUAUACAUUAAGACACCCCCCUUAAAGAUUUCCAUAUGAUCGAUACUGCAAAUUAUUGCCACUCACAGCUUUAGUAGAUCCUUGGCCUUUAGCAUUAGUGCAGCUUUUCCUAUCCUUGGAAUCAGCCACUCAAAAGCAGGCAUCACCAAAACCCUGUAUUUCUAGAGGCAAAAUUGCUCACAAAACUUUCAGAUAGGUUGAGGUGGUUGGGUAUGCAACCUGAAUAGUCAUGGGCAUUGGAAGAAUCUGGGGUGCUUUGCUGUGCUCAACCUGAAUGAGGUCUCCUAACCUUCUGUGCUUAGCCACUGUUAAUGUGAUUGCUUCCUAAAAGGCAUUCCUUCGGCUGGAAGCUGCAACUGUAAAGUAUGUUUCUCAGUUCCACUUCUUGGCCACCGCUCCCACUUCCGGCACCUGCCAGCCACGGCAACCCAAUAUUUGCUCCUGAUGUCUGGGUCCUCCACCAGUGCUUCCUAUGCAUCUGCAGCUUUGGCCAAACAAUACUUGAGCCCGAACUUAAAAUGAGACCACCCUUUCCACAUCAUUUCCUAAGUUUCUGGUAACCUUUUUGUGUGGAUGUGUGAGGGCUUGGGUCAACUCUUUUUUUUUUUUUUUUUUUUUUUUUGGGUCUUUUUUUUCGGAGCUGGGGACCGAACCCAGGGCCUUGCGCUUCCUAGGUAAGCGCUCUACCACUGAGCUAAAUCCCCAGCCCCUUGGGUCAACUCUUAAACCACUGAACUAAGUGUCUUAAGUAGCUAAAGGAUUGGGGGUCACUGUAACAUACAAGAAAUUGACAGCUGC